GAGAGCAAUAUGACCAGCGGCUUCAUCAAACUUCACUCGGCUUAUUGUGUGAAGGGAUCAUAUCCGAUGGAGCUACUUGUGGCCUGGGAUGACUUUGCUGAGGAGAAGGGCUCAGAGAACGAGCGUCCAGACUUGUUUGGUGCAGAGCAGCUUUUCAUGAUUCUGGAGUUUGAGUUUGGUGGUGAUGACUUGGAGCGGAUGAGUUC